GGCUUGGUAAGGAAGUUGAUGGCUAGGUUGCCAAGCUGUCCAAAUGAGCUAUCCACGUUAUUUCUGUAAUGUCCUUUUCCCAUUAGCUAAUGU